UACGUAGGGGGCAAGCGUUUAAUCGGAAUUACUGGGCGUAAAGCGUGCGCAGGCGGUUCGCUAAGACAGAUGUGAAAUCCCCCGGGCUUAACCUGGGAACUGCAUUUGUGACUGGCGGACUGAGUAUGGCAGAGGGGGGUAGGAAUUCCACGUGUAGCAGUGAAAUGCGUAGAGAUGUGGAGGAAUACCGAUGGCGAAGGCAGCCCCCUGGGCCAAUACUGACGCUCAUGCACGAAAGCGUGGGGAGCAAACAGGG
rnacentral:rRNA from 1 species